UUUGGGGGAUAAAGUUAAUUGUUAUCAAACAUCACAGCUGAUUUGGGUUGUGGUCUUAUUACAGGGGAAUCCUGGGCCUCCAGGCCCAAAUGGUUCAAAAGGAAAAGAUGGCCCAAGGGGAAUGAAGGGUAUUUCUAGUCCAGAUGGAUAUGGACAUCCAGGAAGAAAAGGAACAAAGGGAGAAGAUGGUGACCCAGGCCACCGAGGAGAGAAGGGGGCAAAGGGAAUCAGAGGGAAGAGGGUAAGAACCAAAGGAAUUUCCCCCUAUCUACAGAGGCCACAUUGUGACUCACAGGACUCCAUUUGUACUGG
ensembl:lncRNA